UCAGAGAACUGGGUCGGUACAGAGAUGGGUUGGAAGGUCUGGGGAGACUGGGCCGUCUCAGAGAACUGGGUCGGUACAGAGAUGGGUUGGAAGGUCUGGGGAGACUGGGCCGUCUCAGAGAACUGGGUCGGUACAGAGAUGGGUUGGAAGGUCUGGGGAGACUGGGCCGUCUCAGAGAACUGGGUCAGUACAGAGAUGGGUUGGAAGGUCUGGGCCGUCUCAGAGAACUGGGUCAGUACAGAGAUGGGUUGGAAGGUCUGGGCCGUCUCAGAGAACAGGGUCAGUACAGAGAUGGGUUGGAAGGUCUGGGGAGACUGGGCCGUCUCAGAGAACAGGGUCAGUACAGAGAUGGGUUGGAAGGUCUGGGCCGUCUCAGAGAACAGGGUCAGUACAGAGAUGGGUUGGAAGGUCUGGGCCGUCUCAGAGAACAGGGUCAGUACAGAGAUGGGUUGGAAGGUCUGGGGAGACUGGGCCGUCUCAGAGAACAGGGUCAGUACAGAGAUGGGUUGGAAGGUCUGGGGAGACUGGGCCGUCUCAGAGAACAGGGUCAGUACAGAGAUGGGUUGGAAGGUCUGGGGAGACUGGGCCGUCUCAGAGAACAGGGUCAGUACAGAGAUGGGUUGGAAGGUCUGGGGAGACUGGGCCGUCUCAGAGAACAGGGUCAGUACAGAGAUGGGUUGGAAGGUCUGGGGAGACUGGGCCGUCUCAGAGAACAGGGUCAGUACAGAGAUGGGUUGGAAGGUCU